AGUCAUAUGCUCGUCUCAAAGCUUAAGCCAUGCAUGUCUAAGUACACGCCGAUGCUAAGGUGAAACCGCAGACGGCUCAUUAGAUCAGAUACAAUCCAUUGGAUCUGUAUCAACUACUUACUUGGAUAACUGUGGUAAUUCUAGAGCUAAUACAUGCCUUCAGAGACUCUGACAGUAAUGGAAGAGCGCUUUUAUUAGACUCAAAACCUUUCGGACCUCGGGCCGUUAGAUUUGGGGAAUCUAGAUAACCUAUGCUGAGCGCAAGUCUCUACUUAAUUGUAGUGACGGCGCCGCAUCUUACAAGUGUCUGCCUUAUCAGCUAGAUUGUAGGCUAAACGCCUACAAUGGCUAUAACGGGUAACGGGGAAUCAGGGUUCGAUUCCGGAGAGGGAGCCUGAGAAACGGCUACCACAUCUAAGGAAGGCAGCAGGCGCGCAAAUUACCCACUCCUGGCACGGGGAGGUAGUGACGAAAAAUACCGUUGCGAGACUCUAUCGAGGCUUCGCAAUUGGAAUGAGUACACUUUAAAUCCUUGCACGAGGAUCGAGUGGAGGGCAAGUCUGGUGCCAGCCGCCGCGGUAAUUCCAGCUCCAUUAGCGUAUGCUAAAGUUGCUGCGGUUAAAACGCUCGUAGUUGAGCUUCUGCCUGGACUGGCGGUUCACCUUAGCGGUGGUACUGUACAGCUCCAAGCUAACAGACGUCGGUCUUCGGAGUGCUCUUGACCGAGUGGCUUCCAAAGCCGACACGUUUACCUUGAAAAAAUUAGAGUGCUCAGAGCAGGCUAGUUUAAUCGCCUGAAUGGAAGUGCAUGGAAUGAUGGAAUAGGACCUCGGUUCAAUUUUGUCGGUUUUCUGAACCCGAGUUAAUGAUUAAGAGAAGCAAACGGGGGCAUUCGUACUGCGGGGCUAGAGGUGAAAUUCUUAGACCCUCGCAUGACGAGCUACCGCGAACGCAUCUGCCAAGGAUGUUUUCUUUAAUCAAGAACGAAAGUUAGAGGUUCGAAGGCGAUCAGAUACCGCCCUAGUUCUAACCGUAAACGAUGCUGACUAGCGAUCCGACAAAGUUAAUCCCAUGACGUGUCGGGAAGCUUCUGGGAAACCAAAGUAUUUGAGUUCCGGGGGAAGUAUGGUUGCAAAGCUGAAACUUAAAGGAAUUGACGGAAGGGCACCACCAGGAGUGGAGCCUGCGGCUCAAUUUGACUCAACACGGGAAAGCUUACCAGGCCAGGGCACUAGAAGGAUUGACAGAAUAAAUGGCUCUUUCUUGACUUUAGUGGUUGGUGGUGCAUGGCCGUUCUUAGUUGGUGGAGUGAUUUGUCUGGUUAAUUCCGAUAACGAACGAGAUUCUAGCCUGUUAACUAGUCGACGGAUCUACAUGUAACAAUGGUUAGUUCCGUUACAGACCGUGACAGUAAUUCGCUGCUGGUUUCCACUCUACUACUCCACUCUACUAUCGUGCUGCUGCUAGUGCUACGUACUACCCUCGCGAUACGCGAACAGAGUAAGAGAAGGCUAACACAAAAGUAUUUACAAGCAAAAGCCAUGGUGUCCAGCCCGCACCUUCUUCUUAGAGGGAUAAGCGGCAGCAAAAAAGAUACUAGCCGCACGAGAGAGAGCUAUAACAGGUCUGUGAUGCCCUUAGAUGCCCUGGGCCGCACGCGCGCUACAAUGGACAGUGCAGCGAGCUUCCCCCCUGCUCCGACAGGAGUGGGUAACCUUUUCAAAGCUAUCCUUAAAGGGGAUUGGGGCUUGCAAGUGUGUCCCAUGAACCCGGAAUUCCCAGUAGGUGCAAUUCACCAGAUUGCACCGAUUGAGUCCCUGCCCUUUGUACACACCGCCCGUCGCUACUACCGAUUGAAUGGUCUAGUGAGGGCAUCGGACUGGCGUUCUUGGCGUGUUAGUCUCUACUACUACUUGUAGGAGUAAGCAUCGCGCCUCGAGUCGACGGAAAGAUGUCCGAGCUGGGUCAUUUAGAGGAAGUAAAAGUCGUAACAAGGUUUCCGUAGGUGAACCUGC
rnacentral:rRNA from 1 species